rnacentral:rRNA from 1 species
UUUUGCAUAUCAAUAAGCGGAGGAAAAGAAACCAACAGGGAUUGCCCUAGUAACGGCGAGUGAAGCGGCAACAGCUCAAAUUUGAAAUCUGGCUCUCGGGCCCGAGUUGUAAUUUGUAGAGGAUACUUUUGAUGCGGUGCCUUCCGAGUUCCCUGGAACGGGACGCCAUAGAGGGUGAGAGCCCCGUCUGGUUGGAUGCCAAAUCUCUGUAAAGUUCCUUCAACGAGUCGAGUAGUUUGGGAAUGCUGCUCUAAAUGGGAGGUAUAUGUCUUCUAAAGCUAAAUACCGGCCAGAGACCGAUAGCGCACAAGUAGAGUGAUCGAAAGAUGAAAAGCACUUUGAAAAGAGAGUUAAAAAGUACGUGAAAUUGUUGAAAGGGAAGCGUUUAUGACCAGACUUGGGCUUGGUUAAUCAUCUGGGGUUCUCCCCAGUGCACUUUUCCAGCUCAGGCCAGCAUCAGUUUUCCCCGGGGGAUAAAGGCGGAGGGAAUGUGGCUCUCUUCGGGGAGUGUUAUAGCCCACCGUGUAAUACCCUGGGGGGGAUCGGUUCGCGCUCGCAAGGAUGCGGCGAGGUACACUCGCGAU